rnacentral:snRNA from 1 species
AGUGUCAAGGAACAUGCAA